rnacentral:rRNA from 1 species
GAUGAACGCUGGCGGCGUGCCUAAUACAUGCAAGUCGAGCGAACAGACGAGGAGCUUGCUCCUCUGACGUUAGCGGCGGACGGGUGAGUAACACGUGGAUAACACCUAUAAGACUGGGAUAACUUCGGGAAACCGGAGCUAAUACCGGAUAAUAUAUUGAACCGCAUGGUUCACUAGUGAAAGACGGUUUUGCUGUCACUUAUAGAUGGAUCCGCGCCGCAUUAGCUAGUUGGUAAGGUAACGGCUUACCAAGGCAACGAUGCGUAGCCGACCUGAGAGGGUGAUCGGCCACACUGGAACUGAGACACGGUCCAGACUCCUACGGGAGGCAGCAGUAGGGAAUCUUCCGCAAUGGGCGAAAGCCUGACGGAGCAACGCCGCGUGAGUGAUGAAGGUCUUCGGAUCGUAAAACUCUGUUAUUAGGGAAGAACAAAUGUGUAAGUAACUAUGCACGUCUUGACGGUACCUAAUCAGAAAGCCACGGCUAACUACGUG